UACGUAGGUGGCGAGCGUUAUCCGGAAUGAUUGGGCGUAAAGGGUGCGUAGGCGGCCUGCUAAGUCUGGAGUGAAAGGCAUGGGCUCAACCUGUGGACUGCUUUGGAAACUGUGCAGCUUGAGUGUCGGAGAGGCAAGUGGAAUUCCUAGUGUAGCGGUGAAAUGCGUAGAUAUUAGGAGGAACACCAGUGGCGAAGGCGACUUUCUGGACAGUAACUGACGUUGAGGCACGAAAGUGUGAGGAGCAAACAGG
rnacentral:rRNA from 1 species